ensembl:lncRNA
UUUUUUUUUUUUUUGCUACACCCUUGGCACGUGGAAGCUCCUGGGCAAGAGAUGGAACCCUUGCCUCAGCAGCCACCAGAGCCACUGCAAUGCCAAUGCUGGAUCCUUAACCCACUGCACAACAACAGAACUCCCUGGUUUUUAUACUCUUGCUUUGUCUUAUCUGUGUGUUUAAUUUUACUAUAGUGAGUACACCAUUCUCAUACUAAAAGGAGAAAAACACCAGAAAUACUCUGAAGUCUGUUCUCCAAUGAGGACGGGGACCACUUAUGGGGGGAAUCUCGUAAUUAGGUGAUAUUUCUAUUCAGUGAGGUGGCUUUUGUAUUCCAAAUCCACUGGCUUCUCAUGCUAGGAAGUGCAACGUCUUCCUGAGGGAGGGAGGGAAAGCGUGUGUGUGUGUGUGUGCGUGUGAAAACCGUAUUUGUGGGGGCUGCUUAGUCCACAAAAACACAAGAACCCUGGCAGAUCCUGAAAUCGGCCGUUAAGACCAGACUCCGCUGCCUGGUCAAGGGGAGAACGAAGGCACUGUGUGCUCUGGGCAAGAAAGAAUUCUGGAUACACUCCAGGUCACCAGAGACCCCGCGCCCCCACGGAAGGUGCUGGAGUCUUCGCGUUCCCGGCACGGGCACACUGCCCCCCCCAAGAGCCACCACAGGGUCUAGAAGACGAUGGUCCCAAGAAGCCAGUGGACUUCACCCCUGCCCUCCCCACUGCCUUCAGCAAGACAACCAAGACCAUCUUUCACACCCGGCUUCUGUUUCUAACCUCCCUCUUCCGUCUGCAGGAGCCCCUCAGAUGCGGCCUUCCCAGCCCGAGCGCCACACCUGUCUGGCCCUUUCAGGCGGCGCCCUCCCAGCCCUGCUGCGCACUCCCACCCACCAUCCACAGACCAAAGGGACCGGGAAGCAGAGAAUGGCGUGUCUCAGGGGCCCGGGCAUGGCUGUGGGUCCCACAGAUGCCCCAAGAGCUGCCCUGACCCACCACUGGACAAUGCUGGUGGCCAGGCCAUAUGUGUGGGAGGCCCGAUCGGACUGUUCCCAGCGCCCACAAGCGUCAGCUCCUGUCGGAAGCCAGGAGACAGCUGCCUGGGCGGCUGAGACAAGUUAACUCGGGGCCUUCAGGCUUCACGCGCCUCUGCCGAUGGAGGUGAGGCUUCGCGGGAGCCCUGAGGUUCCGAGCACCUCCUUCCCUCCCCUCCGCACCUUAACAUGCCCUGAGCCACAGAACACGUUCCAGCAUCUUUUGUCAGAGUCAAGGAGGCAAAUGCUUGCCCGUGGUGAGCAGCACAGAUCUGUGCGAGCUGGAGGAGGGCUGGCUGACGGGGGCAGCGUCCCCAUCUCCAUGAGAGACGUGGAAACCAAGUCGGUAUCAGAGCCAGAGAAACACAGCCACCUAGGCUUUUUCUAAGAUGCAAAUUCCGCCAUGCAAGGUGGGCUUUCCAGAGGCUUUGCUUGAGGACCCCAAACUUUCCACUGGCUCUCCUCACCUGCCAUGGAUGCCAUCAGGAAACAGCAGCCCACCUGGAGGGGUGACGAGCCACCUGGGACUCGAGGCUGUGAAGGAGCACAAACAACAGAGCCAGCUGGCUCCUGGCAAAGCCUGACACUGGGAGGCCCAGAGACGGCCACGUGGGUAUCUGCUGACAUGCACCCAUGGGGCUCUGCUCUAGGAGGUAAGAGUCUGACUCAGGUGCAUCGAUUUGUGCCUCCUUCUCAGAGCAAACCUCAGACCCUUGAACUUGGGGCUCCACGUCCCAUCAAUUCUGUAAGCCCAGCCCCUCACACAGGCCCUCAGUAAAUGUGCAUCUGAUGAAUGAAUGAAUGAAAAUUAACAAAUGGUCAAGAUACAAAUCCUCAGAUGGGAAGCCCCGAGGGAUGCUGGGAGUUGUGGGGGGGCGGUACUGAAAGCCACUCCCAAGCCUGGCUGAACAAGAAAUCCCCAUUUUGGGCUACAGCCUGGAUGAGGCCAAGGGAAGGAUUUAUAGAGCGCAGGAUCAGUAUUUCAUAAACCCUUCCAAAUUGCAGAAAAGGCUGCACCUGCCUCCGUCAGUCUGCGACUGCUAAUCCGCUGUAACAGCUCUGUGCCGCCUUUCUGUCCCCGCUCGGAGGGCAGGGUUAGCCUGUGUAUUCGCCUCUAAUAAGCCGGAGCCAUCGGGGCGCUGCAUUCACGGCUAUCUGCUCCCACAGGGCCGGCCCCACGGGGCCUCCUUGUCGGCUCUCCGAGUGAACAGGGGAUUUUGUGUUCGGCAGGGGAAACAAAGCUGUCCCGACGGGGAUCCAGUUGGCUGUGGAUUCGCUUCUCCAGCGAGAGCCAGCGGUGGACACAGCCUGGCGCUGUCGUCAGCCCUGAAGGGGAGGGAGGCUCAGCCCGGCUCCUGGGAAGGUUGUGAAAGCGAGGGGAGCUUGUGGCCC